rnacentral:rRNA from 1 species
UUUCCGGUUGAUCCCGCCGGACCUGACUGCUAUCGGAUUGAUACUAAGCCAUGCGAGUCUUUGCAGUAAUGCAAGGCAUACGGCUCAGUAACACGUAGUCAACUUACCCUAUGGACGAGGAUAAUCUCGGGAAACUGAGCAUAAUACUCGAUAGAUCAUAAUGCCUGGAAUGGUUUAUGGUUGAAAUGAUUCGUCGCCAUAGGAUGGGACUGCGGCCUAUCAGCUUGUUGGUGAGGUAAUGGCCCACCAAGGCGAUUACAGGUACGGGCUCUGAGAGGAGAAGCCCGGAGAUGGGUACUGAGACAAGGACCCAGGCCCUAUGGGGCGCAGCAGGCGAGAAAACUUUGCAAUGUGCGAAAGCACGACAAGGUUAAUCCGAGUGAUUUCUGCUAAAGAAAUCUUUUGCAAGUCAUAAAACCACUAGUGAAUAAGGGGUGGGCAAGUUCUGGUGUCAGCCGCCGCGGUAAAACCAGCACCUCAAGUGGUCAGGAGGAUUAUUGGGCCUAAAGCAUCCGUAGCCGGCUCUGUAAGUUUUCGGUUAAAUCCAUGUGCUCAACGCAUGGGCUGCCGAAAAUACUGCAUAGCUAGGGAGUGGGAGAGGUAGACGGUACUCAGUAGGAAGGGGUAAAAUCCUUUGAUCUAUUGAUGACCACCUGUGGCGAAGGCGGUCUACCAGAACACGUUCGACGGUGAGGGAUGAAAGCUGGGGGAGCAAACCGGAUUAGAUACCCGGGUAGUCCCAGCUGUAAACGAUGCAGACUCGAUGAUGCAUUGGCAUAUAGCCAGUGCAGUGUCGCAGGGAAGCCGUUAAGUCUGCCGCCUGGGAAGUACGUACGCAAGUAUGAAACUUAAAGGAAUUGGCGGGGGAGCACCACAAGGGGUGAAGCCUGCGGUUCAAUUGGAGUCAACGCCGGGA